UAUCCACAGUGCUAGUGGAGUCUUGACAUCUCCACACCCUCUGAGAUCAUGGCUCUCCUGGCACCCUCUCUUCAGUGAUGCCAACUCUUAAUGGAGGGAGAUCAAGGAAAUCUCAUUUUAUAGAUAUACAGAUGGACAGCAGACACAAUUUCGGAUGGAGUAAGCAUUUAAGUGAAUAACAUGAAACUACAGAGGAAGCAGAAGACACAGGGGAAGACUGAACCUAAGAUGACACAAAAUUAAGAAGCAGGGUGUAUUUCCUGGAUCUGUAUGUUGCAGGAUCACGGCACAGUGGGGGAUCUGUUGGGGAGCAGGCAGGGUCUCUGGCUGGGCAAGCGGUUUCACGGAGCAACGAGCCUCCACCGAGUGGUCACGGGGGCACUCUGCAGUCUGCCACCCUGGUAGAGUUGUGCCAUGGGAAGCGCAGGUGUGGAGCACCAGUGCCCCUUCCCAGGAAGGGUCCACUGUCUUCCCAUAUACGCAUCCCUCAAGCAGUCCUCAUCUGUGCUGGAUAAGAGAUGUUCCUCUCUUCAUUUGUCUUACAGAUUGCCUGCUGUACAUCUCUGCUCUUUCUCACAUUGGAUGUUGCCAAGUUA